AACGAACGCUGGCGGCAUGUCUAACACAUGCAAGUCGAACGAAGGCUUCGGCCUUAGUGGCGCACGGGUGCGUAACGCGUGGGAAUCUGCCCCUCGGUUCGGAAUAACAGUUAGAAAUGACUGUUAAUACCGGAUGAUGACUUCGGUCCAAAGAUUUAUCGCCGGGGGAUGAGCCCGCGUAAGAUUAGGUAGUUGGUGGGGUAAAGGCCUACCAAGCCGACGAUCUUUAGCUGGUCUGAGAGGAUGAUCAGCCACACUGGGACUGAGACACGGCCCAGACUCCUACGGGAGGCAGCAGUGGGGAAUAUUGGACAAUGGGCGAAAGCCUGAUCCAGCAAUGCCGCGUGAGUGAUGAAGGCCUUAGGGUUGUAAAGCUCUUUUACCAGGGAUGAUAAUGACAGUACCUGGAGAAUAAGCUCCGGCUAACUCCGUGCCAGCCGCCGCGGUAA
rnacentral:rRNA from 1 species